ensembl:lncRNA
CCGAUACCGAGACCAUUCUCACGAUGUGACUUCUGUAAACCAUAAAGCAGCCAAUGUGUUUUACAAUCUGCUUCCUUUCAUCCUCCCACCUCCCUUCAGAGAGCCACUUUAGCACCACGACUAGGAGGACAGGAACUACCAAAGCCCCAUCAAAUCCAGCAGAGAUGGGACCACAUCACCACUACUACAGUGAGAGGGCCAGGAACAACUAGAGCACCGUCAAAUCCUAUGGAACUUGAUGGGUUUGACUUGGAAGACUCCUUGGAUGAUCGGAAUGAUCUAGAUGGCCCCAAAAAGCCAAGUACAGGAGAAGGAGGAGGUUGGUCAGACAAGGAUCUUGAAGAUAUCUUGGGAGACGGGGAAUAGAAACCUGACAAGAAUAAAGUGGAUGGACUGCCAGACCGAAGGCUUCAUGAAAGAACUGUGCUGCUGUGAACGUCUGUAUAUGGGCGUAUAGAAGAUUUCACACAGGAUUUUAUUAUUAACAUCGAUGGAAGCUUACUAACCUUGGAUUUUUAUGAAAAUUGGC